AACGAACGCUGGCGGCGUGGAUUAGGCAUGCAAGUCGAACGAGAAAGGUUCCUUCGGGAACUUAGUAAAGUGGCAAACGGGUGAGUAACGCGUGGGAAACUUGCCUUUCAGCUGGGGAUAACACUUCCAACGAGGUGCUAAUACCGAAUAUGAUCAUGAUGUCGCAUGGCAAUAUGAUCAAAGGUGGCCUCUGUUUCAAGCUACCGCUGAAAGAUGGUCCCGCGUCCCAUUAGCUAGUUGGUAGGGUAACGGCCUACCAAGGCUGUGAUGGGUAGCCGGCCUUAGCGGGUGUCCGGCCACACUGGGACUGAGAUACGGCCCAGACUCCUACGGGAGGCAG
rnacentral:rRNA from 1 species